rnacentral:rRNA from 1 species
GUCGAGGGGCAGCGGGGGAGUAGCAAUACUCCCGCCGGCGACCGGCGCACUGGUGAGUAACACGUAUGAAACCUGCCCGUAGCAGGGGGAUAAGCGGAAGAAAUUCCGUCUAAUACCGCGUAACAACCCAUGGAGGCAUCUCCGUGGGUUUAAAGGAAGCGAUUCCGGCUACGGAUGGUCAUGCGUCGCAUUAGCUUGUUGGCGGGGUAACGGCCCACCAAGGCGACGAUGCGUAGGGGUUCUGAGAGGAAGGUCCCCCACACUGGUACUGAGACACGGACCAGACUCCUACGGGAGGCAGCAGUGAGGAAUAUUGGUCAAUGGCCGCAGGGCUGAACCAGCCAAGUCGCGUGAGGGAUGACGGUCCUAUGGAUUGUAAACCUCUUUUGUCAGGGAGCAAAGGGCGCCACGUGUGGCGUUUUGCGAGUACCUGAAGAAAAAGCAUCGGCUAACUCCGUGCCAGCAGCCGCGGUAAUACGGAGGAUGCGAGCGUUAUCCGGAUUUAUUGGGUUUAAAGGGUGCGCAGGCGGAAUGUCAAGUCAGCGGUAAAAUUUCGGGGCUCAACCCCGUCGUGCCGUUGAAACUGGCGUUCUUGAGUGAGCGAGAAGUAUGCGGAAUGCGUGGUGUAGCGGUGAAAUGCAUAGAUAUCACGCAGAACUCCGAUUGCGAAGGCAGCAUACCGGCGCUCAACUGACGCUCAUGCACGAAAGCGUGGGUAUCGAACAGGAUUAGAUACCCUGGUAGU